rnacentral:misc_RNA from 1 species
UUGUGGAGGAGGACGCCGAAGGUGGGGCUAAUGACUGGGGUGAAGUCGUAACAAGGUAGCCGUACCGGAAGGUGCGGCUGGAUCACCUCCUAACAGGGAGACAACAAAAUGUAAAUAUUAAUUUUGUCACCUUAGGUCGAUCGGUAUCUCAGAUUCUUAUUUUUUAAGAAUUUCAGUUUCUAAGUUUUUUCUAGGUCACACCCAUCACUUUUUCCUGGGCCAUUAGCUCAGGUGGUUAGAGCGCACCCCUGAUAAGGGUGAGGUCCCUGGUUCAAGUCCAGGAUGGCCCAUAUCUCUAUGUUGGGGGUAUAGCUCAGUUGGUAGAGCGCCUGCUUUGCAAGCAGGAUGUCAGCGGUUCGAGUCCGCUUACCUCCACUGAAUACCACCUCUUACAUAUUUAAAGAGGGAAAUUGCUUUGAGUCGUGUCCUAAUUUGCUCUGAGCGAAUCUAGCUUCCUAUUUUAUUCAAUAAAUAAGAUGCUGGACUCAUUGGAUUUUUUUUCAUUGUUUUCAGAGAACCUUGACAACUGCAUAGAUUAUUUUUGAAGACAAUAAGCAUCUUUAAUGAUGCAGAUUUAUUAUUUGUGCGAAUGCAUUAAAUAGCAAUUCUAUUGAGCUGAUGCUUCAAUUAUUGAAGUUAUUGGUCAAGCUACAA